rnacentral:rRNA from 1 species
GACAGAGGGUGCAAACGUUGUUCGGAAUUACUGGGCGUAAAGCGCACGUAGGCGGCGACUCAAGUCAGAGGUGAAAGCCCGGGGCUCAACCCCGGAACUGCCUUUGAAACUAGGUUGCUAGAAUCUUGGAGAGGUCAGUGGAAUUCCGAGUGUAGAGGUGAAAUUCGUAGAUAUUCGGAAGAACACCAGUGGCGAAGGCGACUGACUGGACAAGUAUUGACGCUGAGGUGCGAAAGCGUGGGGAGCAAACAGG